rnacentral:rRNA from 1 species
CCUACGGGGGGCAGCAGUGAGGAAUAUUGGUCAAUGGACGAGAGUCUGAACCAGCCAAGUAGCGUGAAGGAUGACUGCCCUAUGGGUUGUAAACUUCUUUUAUAUGGGAAUAAAAUGUUCCACGUGUGGGAUUUUGUAUGUACCAUAUGAAUAAGGAUCGGCUAACUCCGUGCCAGCAGCCGCGGUAAUACGGAGGAUCCGAGCGUUAUCCGGAUUUAUUGGGUUUAAAGGGAGCGUAGGUGGAUUGUUAAGUCAGUUGUGAAAGUUUGCGGCUCAACCGUAAAAUUGCAGUUGAAACUGGCAGUCUUGAGUACAGUAGAGGUGGGCGGAAUUCGUGGUGUAGCGGUGAAAUGCUUAGAUAUCACGAAGAACUCCGAUGGCGAAGGCAGUUCACUGGACUGCAACUGACACUGAGGCUCGAAAGUGUGGGUAUCAAACAGGAUUAGAUACCCCUGUAGUC